AUUGAACGCUGGCGGCAGGCCUAACACAUGCAAGUCGAACGGUAACAGGAAGCAGCUUGCUGCUUUGCUGACGAGUGGCGGACGGGUGAGUAAUGUCUGGGAAACUGCCUGAUGGAGGGGGAUAACUACUGGAAACGGUAGCUAAUACCGCAUAACGUCGCAAGACCAUAGGGGGGGACCUUCGGGCCUCUUGCCAUCGGCUGUGCCCAGAUGGGAUUAGCUAGUAGGUGGGGUAACGGCUCACCUAGGCGACGAUCCCUAGCUGGUCUGAGAGGAUGACCAGCCACACUGGAACUGAGAACAGGUCCAGACUCCUACGGGAGGAGGAAGGAGGGAAUAUUCCGCAAGGGUCGAAAGCCGGAGGGAGCAAAGCGGCGUGAUGAAGGAAGGCCUUCGGAUGUUAAAAUUCUGUCAGGGGGGAAGAAGAAAGAAAUAAGUAACCAUGCACGUUUGGACGGUACCGAAGAAGAAAGCCCCGGCUAACUACGUG
rnacentral:rRNA from 1 species